AGAAGAACGAACAUGGCGGCCGGAUGACGAACUUUCUCAAAUCACAGAGUCUCACCUGAGUCCGCAGCCAGCGUCCCGACAUCACGUCCCCCGGGGCCUCAGAGCUGCUGAGAGGGUCAAACAGUCAGACGGCCGUCAGUCGUACAGCAGGAUGAACGGGUUAGCACGACGACAGAGAUGUCUCUCCCAUCGCGUUGCCAUUCCUCUGACUCCUCUCAGCCUCACACAUCUUCUGAAGGGUGAACCGGUGGAGCCACAGAGACCUGAUGGGUGUUUUCACUCCUCUUUCCUUUAAUGAGAUUAUUGUGAGGUGCACUGAAAAAAGCUCAAAGGCCUGGAGAAGUCUGGAGAUGCAGGGAAUCUGUGACUGUGUUGAAGGACAAUUAAACCUCUUACAACAGACAGGAAUAGAAGGAGGAGGAGCAGCAGCAGAGUGAUUUAGUAAUCCGGACAGGGUCCUGAUAAACUGUCACAACAGAACAAAGGACUGGAGAUUAAUCAGCAGCUGCAGCAGAGAAGAAGCUGC